rnacentral:lncRNA from 1 species
ACGCCCAAACACACCACACUCUCAUAGAGCAAUUCCGUUCCCUCAUCAGCAGUGAGAUUCAGUCAUCACUCACCGGCAGCAAUAGUGACGGCCCGACGAUGGUGUCCACAGUGGCACCCAUGCACCAUGAAUCCAUAUUUCCCCUUGGUUAGUGUCCGACAUGUCUUCUUCUUUUAUGUGUUCUAUGGCCAUGAAAUCGAGUAAUCUACUCCCUAACCCAUUUUUUUUAUUUGCCAUGUGUAGUCACAGUAGGCUUCUGCACUGCCUCCACUUCCAACCCUCCACCAAGCUCGCCCCAAGCCCUUGGGAGGAAGAACGCCCAGUGGACGUCACAAGAUAACUAAGUCUUCAUUGCCGCCUAUGACAUCGCCAUAGCCGACGGGCACCGUAAUGGGAAGUGCUUCACGAAACAUGGAUGGCACAAACUCGUCCAAUUGUUCAACGCCAACUCCGGGCACGAUUGGAGUAAGAAGCAGUUGAAGAAUCACCGGGAUUAUCUUUGACUCAAGCAUAAACGUCUCCAGGAGUUGCUAGAUUGCACCGACAUCGAAUACGACCC